CAGUCGCCGCGGUAAAACGUAGGGUGCAAGCGUUAAUCGGAAUUACUGGGCGUAAAGCGUGCGCAGGCGGUGUUGUAAGACUGAUGUGAAAUCCCCGGGCUCAACCUGGGAACUGCAUUGGUGACUGCAACGCUGGAGUGCGGCAGAGGGGGAUGGAAUUCCGCGUGUAGCAGUGAAAUGCGUAGAUAUGCGGAGGAACACCGAUGGCGAAGGCAACCCCCUGGGCCUGCACUGACGCUCAUGCACGAAAGCGUGGGGAGCAAACAGGAUUAGAUACCCCCGUAGUCCCUGUCUCUUAUAC
rnacentral:rRNA from 1 species